UUGUGGGACAGGAUGAUCCGGCCCAGCUCGUCGAGGUUGAAGACCUCGGGACCGCCGAUGUCGCGGAUGCCGUUCAGCGGGGCGCCCGCGGC
rnacentral:tRNA from 1 species